UACGUAGGUGGCAAGCGUUGUCCGGAUUUACUGGGCGUAAAGAGCGCGCAGGCGGUCGUUCAAGUCGCGUGUGAAAGCCCCCGGCUCAACUGGGGAGGGUCACGCGAUACUGAUCGACUGGAAGGCAGGAGAGGGUAGUGGAAUUCCCGGCGUAGUGGUGAAAUGCGUAGAUAUCGGGAGGAACACCAGUGGCGAAGGCGACUACCUGGCCUGUUCUUGACGCUGAGGCGCGAAAGCUAGGGGAGCAAACGGG
rnacentral:rRNA from 1 species